CGGAGGGUGCAAACGUUGCUCGGAAUCAUUGGGCGUAAAGCGCACGUAGGCGGACCGCUAAGUCGGAUGUGAAAGCCCUCGGCUUAACCGAGGAAGUGCAUUCGAAACUGACAGUCUUGAGUAUGGAAGAGGGUCGCGGAAUUCCCGGUGUAGAGGUGAAAUUCGUAGAUAUCGGGAGGAACACCAGUGGCGAAGGCGGCGACCUGGGCCAAUACUGACGCUGAGGUGCGAAAGCGUGGGGAGCAAACAGGAUU
rnacentral:rRNA from 1 species